UGCAAGUCGAACGGCAGCGGGGGGAGCUUGCUCCCUGACGGCAAGUGGCGGACGGGUGAGUAACACGUAGGAAUCUACCUUAUAGUGGGGGAUAACCUGGGGAAACUCAGGCUAAUACCGCAUAAUCUCUUCAAAGCAAAGCGGGGGAUCUUCGGACCUCGUGCUAUGAGAUGAGCCUGCGUCGGAUUAGCUAGUUGGUAGGGUAAUAGCCUACCAAGGCAACAAUCCGUAGCUGGUCUGAGAGGACGAUCAGCCACACUGGGACUGAGACACGGCCCAGACUCCUACGGGAGGCAGCCAGUGGGGAA
rnacentral:rRNA from 1 species